AAAAAAAAAAAAAAAAAGCACAGAAUUAUAGCAACACAAGGAAAGAACAAAAAAUGCACAGUUCAAAACUAAAUGGCAUUAUCAGCACAAAAGUAUGCUCAUUAUGAAAAAAAAAAAGUAUGCUUAUUGCAAAAAAAGAAAAAAAUAAUUGUAAAAAAAAAGUAAGAAAUAUAGGGAUAUUUAAACAGAUCCUUGCAACAAGUAUCAUAAUUAUAUUUACCCUAAGAGCAAUGGCCAAGUGAGAAUGCGUGGAGUCAAACUGUUGCUGAAUGGCAUGUAGAUGAUCAAUGAACCCUUUCUGAAAUGUGGAAUCAAUUUGAUCAAACAUAGAUUUGCAUGACAUCUCAAAAGCAGGAAUAAUUGCAGCUUCCAAACUAGAUCUUAGUGCAUCCUGAAGUGCUUGCUUGCCAGAAGUUUGAAAUUGUGAUUGGAUUUGCCUGGCUACUGUGCCUUCAAGUUUUGAACUAACUGAUUUCUCUAGUUGAUUCACAGCCUUCUCCCCCACCCCUUUCUGGAAUGACUCUGUAAUCGCUGAUGAUAUACUUUUCUCCAGAAUAGGAGUAAUUGCACGAGCUACAGCAGGUCCAACUGCACUUAUCUCCUUCUUUAAAGUUUUCUCUAAAGUGCCAGGUAAAUCCUUGUUUACACAAUUUGUGAUCAAAUUUGUUAACUGCUGCAUACGAUCUCGCUCUAACUUCUCAUGCUUUGUGUUUUCUUCUUGGAAACGAGCCCAUAGAGCAUCAGUAUUAGCCUUAACAACUUUCUCAAUACUUCGGCCCAAGGAUGCCUCUAGCCUUUUACCUUCUUUGGAAACUGGGACAGAAAUCAUCGUAGUCAUCUGCUUCUGCAUUUCUUUCUGCAUGCUUAGUAACUUCGGAAAAUGAAACAAAACCAUUAGUUGUCAUCUUUGGGUUAAGACAUUCAUGUCUACUGAAGAAUAACAUAAGCUUAAAAUUUCAUAUACAAAAUAGAUAAGGAGAAAGCUUUAAUCAUGACAUAUUCCAGCUAAAUUAGAGAGGAUUAGGGUCAAAUUUGGGAGUGAUAAUUGGGUUGGUAGACUAAAUUCCAAUCCUUAUGUCUAUUGUGCAAUUCCAGAACUGAUUAAGAAUUUUACCUCAAACAUAGAAUUAACAUAGCCAAAAAAAUGAAAAUGCCAAUGGUACUUCAAAAUGAACCCACCAAUACGACCAUCAAUAUUUGUCGCCAGCAGGUUGUGAGAUAAAAUGGUCGACAAUUUUCAGCUCAAAAUCUCAAAAAUACUUGGACAAACAAUGAUCUUCUCAAGUGCAGGACUUACUGAUGUUGGACAAUACACCAUAUCAAACAAAUUAGAUCAUGGCAACAAAUUAGUGUUGGACAAUAUUUGCAUAGAACUCAUCAAAAUGUAUCCACCCAAUCACAAAACACACAUACACAAAAAUUCAAUUUUUAAACUUCAAUCACCUGAUCAAGCAUAUCCUGCAUGGCAGAUAACUGAGAUAAAGCAGCAUCAUUAGAUUGGGCACCAGAACUACAACCUGGUUCAUUGGAUGAAUCUGUGGAAUUGAAAGGACUAGGGGAAGGAGAAGAUGGACCAGACAAUUGAGAGUUUUUCCCCUUCUGUUUUUUCCCUUUUGUAGAGGGGGCUGGGGACUGUGAGACUACCACAGGAGUUUCUGAUUCGCCAACCUUUGCAGGUACAUCUUUUCUUAUUUCUUGUUCUUCGUCUUCACCACUAUUAGGAGGUCUAUCUGGUACUUCUGUGACACCAUUUUCACCAGCCUGCCGAAUUCCCCCAACAUUAUAAGCUUCCACACAACAAUCUCUGGCCAUCUGAAUACUAAGAUCUGAGGCCUGAGAGUAGAAUGAUUUUUCCUUUUUCUCUGGGACAGUAGCAUGGGAUUCUCUAGGCAAGUCAAAGUCAUUACUUUGAUUGGUUCUUGUCUCUCCAACAACUUUAACCUCUACCUCAAUGCUUUCCAUAUCAUUGUUGGCGACCACAUCCUGGACCUUUGACUCUCCCACAUUCAUGCACUGACUAAUUUGAGAAUUCUCAGAGGACGAGGCAGCUCUGGAUAGUAUUUCUGAUGGGGUUAUAAGAUGGGUUGGGUGUUUAAACAUUACAGGAGAUUCAGGAACCACUGAGAUGUCAGUUUGUGCAAUGUUUUUCUCACCCUUCCUCAAAUUGUCACCUGAAGGGAUAUCAGCCAUGUUUUCCUUUGCAGUAUCCAUUCUGUGCUCGACCAAAUAAUCAAGGCCAGGCUGGUCAACAUGAUCACUAGGUUGCAUACUAGGCUCAAUGCUAUUUGAUGGACCUUGGAAACCUGACAAUUUUCGAGAUAACUGUGGACUCAAUGGAAGUGAAGGAGACACAGUGUUGAGAUUUCCAAUACUAUUUUGAGAUGGCAAAGCACUAGCCUUGGUUUCUACAACUGAAGUAGCACUAUCUGGUAAGGUGUUAACCUCAGCAGAAGUCAAGCUUUCAGGAUGGCUUGCUGCGGGAGCGUUUUCAGAACUGCUUGAAACCAUAGGUUGUAUGGGAGUCCCUUUUCCUAUGGGAACGUCAACUGUUUUACUUCCAUGAGAUGAUUCCGUGAUAGUGGAACCAUCAGAACUAGCAGCAUCAAAAACAUGAGAAACAUUGGAUUCUGUUUUCUCCAACUCCACGUUCUCCAGUGGCGGUGGUAGGCACUGUGACAAAUCCAAUGCAUAUUGCUGAAUAGCCUGUGUUUGGACACAGUAAACCUGAACAACAUGCUCUCCAUUAGGUAAACUAUCACUAGUUCCGGUUAGACUCAAAAUAGGCAUUGUCACCGUAAACUCAGCUAUAUAAUCCAUACGGGUCGCAGCUGGAUAAGGUCCAUAUUCUAUGUGUAUUGCAUAAAUAGCAUUCUUCUUGGCAUUCGCCAACAGAAAUAAGCCAGCACGGGGCAGUGCUACAACUUGAUUAAAGAAUGCAUCCUCAACACUAGAUUCAGCAGAACUCUUUAAGGUCAAAGUCUGACUACAUUGCCAUGAUUCAGCAUCACUGGGCAACAGCCAGCCCUCCUCCAUUGCAGAGGCCCAAACCUUCACUUCCUGAUUUAAUCGACCCCCAGUGAUGAGAACAAUAUGAUCAGGGCGAUGAGGAGAAGUCAGGAAUGUCACAGAAUUUACAGGGUUACCAUCAUGUGGUCUCAACAUUGCAAGUGGCACUGCUUUACGAUCUUCCCAAAUCUUGACCGUGCCAUCUGAUGAAGCUGAAGCUAAACGGGUGGUCAUCCAUUGACACAUUGACAACUCAGUAACUUCACCCUCAUGCUUACCAGCAAGCUGGACUCCAUCAAUCAACUUAUCAAUGGAACAAUUGAGAGGUUUCUCUGCUGAAAAAACUUCACCUUUUCCAACUUUAAUGGUAUCAAUUUUUAGGAUACGAUUUCCAAUUGCAACCAUCAAAAUUUCUUGUUUGUGAGGAUGCCAACAAACUCGUGGAUGGACUGAUUCUCCCUCUGUUAUUAUCUGAAGAGCAAGUACAAUCCUUUCAAAUAUUUGAGGCUUCUCUUCCUCAUCUGGCCCUUCAUUGAUCUUUCGUAUGAAGAUCCGUCCAUCAAUGCAUGUGCUGGCCAGAAGGUGAACAUCCUCAGCAAAGAACACCAUAUCUGUUACUUUCUGGUUAUGGCCACGAAGCAAGGAUCUCAAGGCAGUGUUAAUAUUGAGGAUGCGAAUUGCUCCAGGCUUAAGUCCAUAGCAAAUGUAAUUUCUAUUGACAGCAAUCUGACGGCCAAGUAUAAGACCAGGGUCGGAGACGUACUUGGUGAUGGGAGUAACUUCGAGUUGUGGCUGCACCUCGCCUUGCAAUCUGACGUCAAUAUCAUACACAACAUGGUUGCCAAUCAAAUGGCGGCCUUUGGGGAGCUUGCUGCUGAGCAUCCUCACUGGCGUUGGGCUCGGCUGCUGCAGCUGAUGAGUUGGGGAUGCCAAACUGACAGGCGGAGCAGAAGGGAUGGGAGCACUGAAGUUGGAUACAGCCGAUGAAGAAGAGGGGGAAGAGAAGGGCAUGGUCAGAUUGGUGGAGAGAGGAGGUUGUUGCUGCUGCAGGUUCUGAUUGGUGAGGAUGUCCAUCAAUACACCACUGGGAUUUGGGUUAUUAGGCGAGAAUGGAGGGGGAGAAGGAGCAGUAGAAGGUGCAGCAACGGCAAGAGCAGCAGGAGGAGGAAAAGAAGAAAUGGGUUGAGGUCUAUUCUGCUGUUGCAUAUUAGCGAGGAACUGAUUGUGAUGCUGUUGAAGUUGUGGAAGAGGUGGAGGUGGAUAAGGAGAGAGGUAGUGAGGGUGAUAAGGAUGGUAAGGCCCAGUGGGAGGAGGAUAAGAGGAAGAUGGGGUUAAAUAGGGAGGAGAAGAUGGAGGAAGAGAGGAAGGGAGAGGGAAGGAAGGAGAAGUUGUGAGAUUGCCAAUAGCUGGGUUAGAGUUGCUGGGACUCAAAGGGGGCUGAGGCUGCUGCUGUUGUGGUGGGUUUGAUGGUUGCAUCAUAUU
rnacentral:misc_RNA from 1 species